rnacentral:rRNA from 1 species
CCUACGGGUGGCAGCAGUGAGGAAUAUUGGUCAAUGGGCGAGAGCCUGAACCAGCCAAGUCGCGUGAGGGAAGACGGUCCUACGGAUUGUAAACCCCUUUUUUCAGGGAGCAAGGAGCGCCACGAGUGGUGCGGCGAGAGUACCUGAUGAAAAAGCAUCGGCUAACUCCGUACCAGCAGCCGCGGUAAUACGGAGGGUGCAAGCGUGACUCGGAAUCUCUGGGCGUAAAGAGUGCGUAGGCGGGCUUGUAAGUCGGAUGUGAAAUCCUGUGGCGUAACUACAGGACUGCAUAUGAAACUAGGAGACUAGAGUGUGGGAGAGGUAGGUGGAAUUCUUGGUGUAGGGGUAAAAUGCGUAGAUAUCAAGAGGAACACUCAUUGCGAAGGCGACCUACUGGAACAUUACUGACGCUCAUGCACGAAAGCGUGGGGAGCGAACAGGAUUAGAUACCCCUGUAGUC